GCUGCUUUGCAGAUGACCUCUGGAGAAGCAAGCGCCCUUUCUGCCCAUGAGGUAGCCAUAGCUCGGGUGGAAUGGGCCUUAAGGGCAAGUGGAGCCUGAAGACCUUCUGUGGAGUAUGCCAAUUCUAUAGCUUGAAUGAGCCAAAGGGAUAAGGUGCCGCGGGAAGCCACAUUUCCCUUGAAAAUUAACAAACAGAUGAUCCGAAAUUCUGAAUUCUUUUGUUCUGGCAAGGUAUAUAAGUAAAGCUCUUCUGACGUCCAACUUCUGCCAUUUGAGCUCCUGAGGAGAUGAGGCUUCACUACAAAACGAAUGCAAAAUAAUCGGC